CAUCAUGGUUAGGGUUAGGGUUCUUCUUUUCAUAAGGGUCAUGGAUAGUUCGGAAGUAGCGGUACCUGAAAAUGACUCAGGGUUUGGCUAUUUUUAGGGCUAGGGUUAGGGUUAAGGUCAGGGUGAUAGAUAGCAUUGAAAUUGAAAUGCCUGUGUGGGUCAAAGUGGGUUGGAAAGUGAGUAUUAGGGUAAGUUCCUGUGGAAGAGGAGGGAGAAUGUCCAAUCACAGUCACCUGGGUAGUAUGAUUUGGUCCUGCGGCUUAGGGUUAGGGUUAGGGUUAGGAGUGCGUUUAGCUUUAGGGUUUCAAUUCAUGUACGUGACGUUUGGAGUGUGGGAAUGGUUGUUAGGGUUAGGGUUCUUCUUUUCGUAAGGGUCAUGCAUAGUGUGGAAGUAGCGGUACCUGAAAAUGACUCAGGUUUUGGCUAGGGUUGUGGCUAGGGUUGGGGUUAGG
rnacentral:lncRNA from 1 species